rnacentral:rRNA from 1 species
GGAACGUGCCUUUAGGUUCGGAAUAAGCCCGGGAAACUGGGUCUAAUACCGAAUGUGCCCUUCGGGGGAAAGAUUUAUCGCCUUUAGAGCGGCCCGCGUCUGAUUAGCUAGUUGGUAGUGUAAUGGACUACCAAGGCUACGAUCAGUAGCUGGUCUGAGAGGAUGACCAGCCACAUUGGGACUGAGACACGGCCCAAACUCCUACGGGAGGCAGCAGUGGGGAAUCUUGCGCAAUGGGCGAAAGCCUGACGCAGCCAUGCCGCGUGAAUGAUGAAGGUCUUAGGAUUGUAAAAUUCUUUCACCGGGGACGAUAAUGACGGUACCCGGAGAAGAAGCCCCGGCUAACUUCGUGCCAGCAGCCGCGGUAAUACGAAGGGGGCUAGCGUUGCUCGGAAUUACUGGGCGUAAAGGGCGCGUAGGCGGACAUUUAAGUCAGGGGUGAAAUCCCAGAGCUCAACUCUGGAACUGCCUUUGAUACUGGGUGUCUUGAGUGUGAGAGAGGUAUGUGGAACUCCGAGUGUAGAGGUGAAAUUCGUAGAUAUUCGGAAGAACACCAGUGGCGAAGGCGACAUACUGGCUCAUUACUGACGCUGAGGCGCGAAAGCGUGGGGAGCAAACAGGAUUAGAUACCCUGGUAGUCCACGCCGUAAACGAUGAUUGCUAGUUGUCGGGCUGCAUGCAGUUCGGUGACGCAGCUAACGCAUUAAGCAAUCCGCCUGGGGAGUACGGUCGCAAGAUUAAAACUCAAG